rnacentral:piRNA from 1 species
UGCAAGUUUUACUUGAGAUAAUGGCUGAC